GCGGCGUGCCUAAUACAUGCAAGUCGAGCGAACGGACGAGAAGCUUGCUUCUCUGAUGUUAGCGGCGGACGGGUGAGUAACACGUGGAUAACCUACCUAUAGGACUGGGAUAACUUCGGGAAACCGUAGCUAAUACCGGAUAAUAUUUUGAACCGCAUGGUUCAAAAGUGAAAGACGGUCCUGCUGUCACUUAUAGAUGGAUCCGCGCUGCAUUAGCUAGUUGGUAAGGUAACGGCUUACCAAGGCAACGAUGCAUAGCCGACCUGAGAGGGUGAUCGGCCACACUGGAACUGAGACACGGUCCAGACUCCUACGGGAGGCAGCAGUAGGGAAUCUUCCGCAAUGGGCGAAAGCCUGACGGAGCAACGCCGCGUGAGUGAUGAAGGUCUUCGGAUCGUAAAACUCUGUUAUUAGGGAAGAACAUAUGUGUAAGUAACUGUGCACAUCUUGACGGUACCUAAUCAGAAAGCCACGGCUAACUACGUGCCAGCAGCCGCGGUAAUACGUAGGUGGCAAGCGUUAUCCGGAAUUAUUGGGCGUAAAGCGCGCGUAGGCGGUUUUUUAAGUCUGAUGUGAAAGCCCACGGCUCAACCGUGGAGGGUCAUUGGAAACUGGAAAACUUGAGUGCAGAAGAGGAAAGUGGAAUUCCAUGUGUAGCGGUGAAAUGCGCAGAGAUAUGGAGGAACACCAGUGGCGAAGGCGACUUUCUGGUCUGUAACUGACGCUGAUGUGCGAAAGCGUGGGGAUCAAACAGGAUUA
rnacentral:rRNA from 1 species